CCUACGGGUGGCAGCAGUGAGGAAUAUUGGUCAAUGGACGAGAGUCUGAACCAGCCAAGUAGCGUGAAGGAUGACUGCCCUAUGGGUUGUAAACUUCUUUUAUAUAGGAAUAAAGUGAGCCACGUGUGCGUUUUUGUAUGUACUUUAUGAAUAAGGAUCGGCUAACUCCGUGCCAGCAGCCGCGGUAAUACGGAGGAUCCGAGCGUUAUCCGGAUUUAUUGGGUUUAAAGGGAGCGUAGAUGGGUUGUUAAGUCAGUUGUGAAAGUUUGCGGCUCAACCGUAAAAUUGCAGUUGAUACUGGCAGUCUUGAGUACAGUAGAGGUAGGCGGAAUUCGUGGUGUAGCGGUGAAAUGCUUAGAUAUCACGAAGAACUCCGAUUGCGAAGGCAGCUUACUAAACUGCAACUGACAGUGAUGCUUGAAAGUGUGGGUAUCAAACAGGAUUAGAUACCCGAGUAGUC
rnacentral:rRNA from 1 species